AAGACACCUGGUACGACCAUGAAGUUUUCCUUUUGGGCUGUCAUUGCCUUCUCUUUCUCAGGAAGCUGUACAUCAAACAGUGUAACACAGCCAAAAAGAGCAGUAACUGUGGAGGCUACACAAUUUAUUAACCUGGAUUGUGAAUACAGUACCACAGAUACUGCUCCAUAUCUUUUCUGGUAUGUUCAAUAUCCUGGCCGGGGCCUCCAGUAUAUUCUCAGAAGUCUUGGAAGAUCAGAAGAAGUAAACGCUACUCCAAGAAUUUCAGCUAAGCACAACAUAAAGAAAAAAGUCAUUCCUUUGAUGAUUUUAGAUGCUAAAGCUUCAGACGGUGGAGUGUACUUCUGUGCUUUGAGUGACACACUGUGUGAGCUCAAUGGUUUUCCCUCACCAAAAACACUAAAUCUAAAGAUUAUGACAAUUAUAACAAACAAAUGCAUAAUAUGA